ACAGGGGAUCGCCUGUUUAUCAAAAACAUUGCCUCUCGACUCAACAAUGAGAGGUUCAUCCUGCCCAAUGACAACAUAGUUCAAUGGCCGCGGUACCCUGACCGUGCAAAGGUAGCAUAAUCACUUGCCCCUUAAUUAGGGGCUGGCAUGAAAGGACACACGAAAGCUUCCCUGUCUCACAAUAACAAAUAAAAAUUAAUCUUCAAGUGAAAAAGCUUGAAUCAAACUGCAGGACAAGAAGACCCCGUUGAGCUUUAUUCUCUAUAGACUAAAUCAAAUAUUAAAUACAUCAUAAACCUAAAAAGAAUUUAGUUGGGGUGACUAAGGAACACCGAAAACUUCCUUUUAUUAAUUAGGAUCAUUCUCCGUACAAAUUGACCCAUUACACAUGAUCAAAAAAAUAAGCUACCACAGGGAUAACAGGCUAAUCUUUCUCAAGAGCCCAAAUUGUCAGAAAGGAUUGGCACCUCGAUGUUGGCUUAGGGGCCCCUAAUGGUGCAGAAGCCAUAAAAGGUAGGUUUGUUCAACCUUUAAAACCCUACGUGAUCUGAGUUCAGACCGGAUUUCUUCU
rnacentral:rRNA from 1 species